GAGUGGGGAAGAUGAAGAAAUGUUUGUUUAUUUUGAUUGUUAAAAAGUGUCCGGGAAAUUGACCCUUCCGGAAAAGGGACGUCCGGAUAUGGGACGUUACACUGUAUUAUGAUUCUUAUUU